UACAGAGGGGCAAGCGUUAUCGGAAUUAUUGGGCGUAAAGGGCGCGUAGGCGGCGAUUCAAGUGACGGGAUGAAAUCCCUCGGCUUAACCGGAGGAACUGCCUGUCAGACUGGAUUGCUUGAGUCCGGGAGAGGCGAGUGGAAUUCCCAGUGUAGCGGUGAAAAUGCGUGGAUAUUGGGAGGAACACCAGUGGCGAAGGCG
rnacentral:rRNA from 1 species